UAAACGAUGUCGAUUUGGAGGUUGUGCCCUUGAGGCGUGGCUUCCGGAGCUAACGCGUUAAAUCGACCGCCUGGGGAGUACGGCCGCAAGGUUAAAACUCAAAUGAAUUGACGGGGGCCCGCACAAGCGGUGGAGCAUGUGGUUUAAUUCGAUGCAACGCGAAGAACCUUACCUGGUCUUGACAUCCACAGAACUUAGCAGAGAUGCUUUGGUGCCUUCGGGAACUGUGAGACAGGUGCUGCAUGGCUGUCGUCAGCUCGUGUUGUGAAAUGUUGGGUUAAGUCCCGCAACGAGCGCAACCCUUAUCCUUUGUUGCCAGCGGUCCGGCCGGGAACUCAAAGGAGACUGCCAGUGAUAAACUGGAGGAAGGUGGGGAUGACGUCAAGUCAUCAUGGCCCUUACGACCAGGGCUACACACGUGCUACAAUGGCAUAUACAAAGAGAAGCGACCUCGCGAGAGCAAGCGGACCUCAUAAAGUAUGUCGUAGUCCGGAUUGGAGUCUGCAACUCGACUCCAUGAAGUCGGAAUCGCUAGUAAUCGUAGAUCAGAAUGCUACGGUGAAUACGUUCCCGGGCCUUGUACACACCGCCCGUCACACCAUGGGAGUGGGUUGCAAAAGAAGUAGGUAGCUUAACCUUCGGGAGGGCGCUUACCACUUUGUGAUUCAUGACUGGGGUGAAGUCGUAACAAGGUAACCGUAGGGGAACCUGCGGUUGGAUCACCUCCUU
rnacentral:rRNA from 1 species